rnacentral:rRNA from 1 species
GCGUGAGAAUCUGCCUAGAGGAUGGGGACAACCACGGGAAACUGUGGCUAAUACCCAAUGAGCGGAGACGUUAAAGAUUUAUCGCCUCUAGAGGAGCUCGCGUCUGAUUAGCUAGUUGGUGGGGUAAAAGCCUACCAAGGCGACGAUCAGUAGCUGGUCUGAGAGGACAACCAGCCACACUGGGACUGAGACACGGCCCAGACUCCUACGGGAGGCAGCAGUGGGGAAUUUUCCGCAAUGGGCGAAAGCCUGACGGAGCAAUACCGCGUGAGGGAGGAAGGCUCUUGGGUCGUAAACCUCUUUUCUCAGGGAAGAAGAAAGUGACGGUACCUGAGGAAUCAGCCUCGGCUAACUCCGUGCCAGCAGCCGCGGUAAUACGGAGGAGGCAAGCGUUAUCCGGAAUUAUUGGGCGUAAAGCGUCCGUAGGUGGCUCUUCAAGUCUGCUGUCAAAGAGUGGGGCUUAACUCCAGAAAGGCAGUGGAAACUGAAAGGCUAGAGAGCCGUAGGGGUAGAGGGAAUUCCCGGUGUAGCGGUGAAAUGCGUAGAGAUCGGGCAGAACAUCGGUGGCGAAAGCGCUCUACUGGACGGUAUCUGACACUGAGGGACGAAAGCUAGGGGAGCGAAUGGGAUUAGAUACCCCAGUAGUCCUAGCCGUA